CACAGGAUGACCAUAUAUAAACCACCACAUAUAAACACUCAAAAUACAAUCUGGUGAAACACUUAACUGUCUAAUUCACGUUCCUUAAACAGUUCGAAAAUGUUUGUAGCUUCUGUUACUCUUUUCCUGGUGGCUUCGGUAUAUGGAAGAAUUAUGCCAGGCGGUAUUGAAGAGGCUGAAGUGACCCAAAACAUCAGAAACGCUGCUGAUUUUGCUACUAAUGCCAUCAAUGCCGAGAUAAAACAACAACAAACUGAUUCAAACUGGCACACACUCGCCGAAAUCAACAACCCAACCAAACAGGUUGUAAAUGGUUUGAUGUACGGAAUGGAGAUUGUUUUGAAGGAAUCUGAAUGUCGCAAUCAUGAAAGCAAAAACGGUGCCACCAUCGUAGAUUGUCCUCCACUUGAUAAUGGCGCUACCAAGAAAUGCAAUGUAAUGGUUUGGCACCAACAUAGAAGAGUUCCAGAAUAUACUCUCGAGAGAAAACGAUGCAUUAAUAUUUAAAACUGAAAGUCUCUGUAUUCAGCUGGGGUUCAUGGCGACCUGUCUCUUUAUGAUAAUUGCCAAAUUCGUUACAUGAAUAUUUAAAUAUGCUAAAAAAGA